rnacentral:ncRNA from 2 species
UGUUCUUCCUCGGGGCGGCCCAAGGCCUGAGACACGCGGUGAAUUCGCGUGGACCCGUCGAACCUGAUCCGGUUAAUGCCGGCGUAGGGAAGGAAACGAGAACCAGU